rnacentral:lncRNA from 1 species
UUUCCAGCCAGUUGACUAAGAAAGAGUUCUAAUAGUAUUAUGAGUUUUUAUUUGCUUCUGUGUUAUGAUGGAUCCUGUGUUCUACCUGGAAUCCAAAAGUUCAGUGACACAUCACAUAUAAAUAGCAUAUGCCAACUCUAGUCUUUAAAUGAAAUCUUUCCUUUUCCUCUUCUGCCUCACUGUCCACACUCCAGCAUAAAAGCAGAGAGGAUUAAUAAUAUCAAAAAUAAUAUCCGCUAGCAUUUAUUGUAGGCAUACUAUGUUCUAGUCAUUGCACUGAGCACAUUCUGUGUAUUUUAUUAUUUAACUCCCACUAGUUUUCCCAUUUCAUGCCUAGGACUAAGAAAUUCAAGUGACUUGUCCAGAGAAAAAGAGCUGUUAAAAGGUGGAACCUGGCCUGAGGACUCCAAACCGUCUCCUGCCUACCCCCAGGAAGGACACCCUCUGCAGCCAUAUUGGCCAAAUGUUGUUUCCUUGAUGAGGAAACAGAAGCAGAGACAGCAAGAAGGUGGCUGAGUUGGGAUUUGAGACCAGACCGAGUGUCAGGGUCUGUGGCGUGGACGACAACACCAUGCUGUCACUGACCAGUUGAACCCCCACUAUGAAACCAGCAGCAUAGCUCCCUCAUCCCACAACACUUGACCGGAUACAGCUGAGCGGUUCCUGUCCCUGUGUCCACGUGCACGUGGGUCCUCCUGGAGCUGCUGCACAUGAGGUACGGGCUUUGGCAGGGUCGCCCUGGAGCUUUCCACUUGGACCUCACGCCGGCCACUGGCAACAAGUGACUGACAUGGCUUCCCAGGGGCACGGCAGUAUCAGAGUCACCAGGUCUCUUCUUUAUGGUGAACUUGCCUUGAUAAUGCCUACAGCA